rnacentral:rRNA from 1 species
UGAGGUGAUGCGAGCGCCGGGGUCCACCUCUUCCCAUUCCGAACAGAGAAGUUAAGCCCGGUUGCGCCGAUGGUACUGCCUUCACCGGUGGGAGAGUAGGGAAUUGCCUCUU